UGGUGGUGGUGGCGGUGGUGGAGGUGGUGGCGGUGGUGGUGGUGGAGGGGGCGGAGGUCCCAAAUCUGGAGGUGGAGGUGGAGGUGGCGGUGGAGGUGGUAGUCACGGUCCAUGAACACUUGGCCACAGCAGGUUCAACUCCGGAGCAGUGUGGCUAGGGAACCUACCCAAGCAGGCUGCAAUCCGAAGAAGAUUUCAAUCAUUAUAAGCUGAUCCGCAUAGCUUCCGAAGUGACCCACCUUGCUAGUUCAGUACUUCGAUCGACUACGUCUCAUCCAAGUCACACGACAGUUUCUGAUUCCACAAAUGUGAAGAGUCCGAUCUGUGUCUGUGUUGUGUGCGAGUGUAGGAUUUGAGUGACUAAACUGAAUAAAGCGUCGAGCUCUGGUUUGGAAUUUCGAAACUGUUUCGCUGCUAGCUUUCAGUCACCGUUAGAUUCCAUCUACCGAAAUUAGAAGAAAUUAGAUGCGUUAGCAUCCGAAAUCUACAGGGUGUACCGACAUAGUUUUAGGAUUUCCACGCUAGACCGAUGUGUAACGGGGCGAGUUGAAUUAAUAUUAAAUGACUGUGCUUAUCCAA